rnacentral:sRNA from 1 species
AGUUCUGUUAUAAACACGCAAAGGAACUCAUCACUUUUAUGUGUACUGUUAAUUGUUAUUAUUUAUUCCAUUUUAUCAGUCCUUUGUUUUGGGGUGUUGAGAAUUCAUAAAACUUUGUUUCUGUUGUUGUUAUCCAUGUUUCUAGAUGUGUAAAAGUUUAAGAUGUAUUGCAUACCAGGCAACAAGAAGAUUCUCUGGGAUCUUUUGUCAUACUAGGUGUCUCAGAAUGCAGAACAUUUUUUUUUCAUGUGUGUUCUGUAGAUAUUACAUGUUGAAGAGUUUUGAAUGUCAUGUUUGUACAUGUAUGUAGCAACUGCAGUGCGUUUCAUAUAGAUUUUACAAUGAACUGGGUUGUAAAAAAAAUUAACAACAACAAAAAGGCAUGUUUUAAUCCAUGAACUUGAAAACAAUGUCAGAUAUGUGUAAAUUUACUGCCAGUGUUUUAAAUUUCUUUGAUGAUGCAUGUUCUGUUCCCCAUUUUCAGCAGCAUUUCGUAAUCAUUUUAUUCAAACAUAUUUUUAAUGAAAAUAAACUUGAGUUUUGUACAGAAAAAUAAAUUGUAUGAAUCUU